CAAACUGGAGAUGGCGACCGGCGCACGGGUGAGUAACACGUAUCCAACCCGCCGAUAACUCGGGGAUAGCCUUUCGAAAGAAAGAUUAAUACCCGAUGGCAUAAUAGAACCGCAUGGUUUGAUUAUUAAAGAAUUUCGGUUAUCGAUGGGGAUGCGUUCCAUUAGGCAGUUGGUGGGGUAACGGCCCACCAAACCUUCGAUGGAUAGGGGUUCUGAGAGGAAGGUCCCCCACAUUGGAACUGAGACACGGUCCAA
rnacentral:rRNA from 1 species